UGUGUAGUGGGCAAUCACGAGCCACAAAGUAUCUGUAGGUGAAGUGAGGUUAUACAAAUGAGGCACGGUGCCAAUUACUAGAUAUUUCGUUUUUCUGAGCUUCUAUUAUCCCGUGUUUCGAAACGGUUCUUGGCUCGGUGCUCAUCCAAGUAUAAGAAUAAUGUUUAGUGACAUAAAAUGUUAAGAUUAUAUCUAAUUCACCUGAAUUUCUCGAAUUACCAUCACGUAAGUCAAUCAUUUUUCUUUUCAAUCACUGUUAAACUUGGAACAAAUUAUGCCAAGGAACUCAGAUGGUGAACAUUGAUCAUGAGAAGCCAAAUUUGCAAA